rnacentral:rRNA from 1 species
AUUAGAGGAAGUAAAAGUCGUAACAAGGUCUUCGUAGGUGAACCUGCGGAGGGAUCAUUA